rnacentral:rRNA from 1 species
AUUGAACGCUGGCGGCAUGCCUAACACAUGCAAGUCGAACGAGUGGCGGACGGGUGAGUAAUGUCUGGGAAACUGCCUGAUGGAGGGGGAUAACUACUGGAAACGGUAGCUAAUACCGCAUACCAUCAAAUGUGCCAUGAUGGUUUUAUCUAGUUGGUGGGGGAACGGUUCACCAAGGCCACGAUCCCUAGCUGGUCUGAGAGGAUGAACAGCCACACUGGGACUGAGACACGGUCCAGACUCCUACGGGAGGCAGCAGUGGGGAAUAUUCAGCAAUGGGCGCAAGCCUGAUGCAGCCAUGCCGCGUGUAUGAAGAAGGCCUUCGGGUUGUAAAGUACUUUCAGCAGGGAGGCGUUACCCGAAGAAGAAGCACCGGCUAACUCCGUGCCAGCAGCCGCGGUAAUUC